AGUGAACGCUGGCGGUAGGCCUAACACAUGCAAGUCGAACGGCAGCACAGUAAGAGCUUGCUCUUACGGGUGGCGAGUGGCGGACGGGUGAGGAAUACAUCGGAAUCUACUUUUUCGUGGGGGAUAACGUAGGGAAACUUACGCUAAUACCGCAUACGACCUACGGGGGAAAGCAGGGGAUCUUCGGACCUUGCGCGAUUGAAUGAGCCGAUGUCGGAUUAGCUAGUUGACGGGGUAAAGGCCCACCAAGGCGACGAUCCGUAGCUGGUCUGAGAGGAUGAUCAGCCACACGGGAACUGAGACACGGUCCAGACUCCUACGGGAGGCAGCAGUGGGGAAUAUUGGACAAUGGGCGCAAGCCUGAUCCAGCCAUACCGCGUGGGUGAAGAAGGCCUUCGGGUUGUAAAGCCCUUUUGUUGGGAAAGAAAAGCAGCAGGUUAAUACCCCGCUGUUCUGACGGUACCCAAAGAAUAAGCACCGGCUAACUUCGUG
rnacentral:rRNA from 1 species